UUACAAUGGAGAGUUUGAUCCUGGCUCAGGAUGAACGCUAGCGGCAGGCCUAAUACAUGCA
rnacentral:rRNA from 1 species